rnacentral:rRNA from 1 species
UAGGGAAUCUUCCGCAAUGGACGCAAGUCUGACGGAGCAACGCCGCGUGAGUGAAGAAGGAUUUCGGUUCGUAAAACUCUGUUGUUAGAGAAGAACAGCGCAUAGAGUAACUGUUAUGCGUGUGACUGUAUCUAACCAGAAAGCCACGGCUAACUACGUGCCAGCAGCCGCGGUAAUACGUAGGUGGCAAGCGUUGUCCGGAUUUAUUGGGCGUAAAGCGAGCGCAGGCGGCAAUGCAAGUCAGAUGUAAAAGGCAAAGGCUCAACCUUUGUAAGCAUCUGAAACUGUAUAGCUUGAGAAGUGUAGAGGCAAGUGGAAUUUUUAGUGUAGCGGUGAAAUGCGUAGAUAUUAAAAAGAAUACCGGUGGCGAAGGCGACUUGCUGGGCACAAUCUGACGCUGAGGAACGAAAGCGUGGGGAGCAAACAGG